rnacentral:lncRNA from 1 species
UACCAAUUGAAGAAAGAACAAUGGCAGAAAAUGCCGCUGAGAGUGAGUAACGUUCCCAUUUACAUUUUAUAGCUAACAGUAGCCUACCGCUGGAUUUUCCCACCGAAACGCGUUAACCGGGACCGCUACCACUUUAAUCUAACCCGGAUUAAUUAGCGCCACUAACCGACCGAAGACGGGCACCGAAAGGCCGUACAGUCGAAUAUGUUAUAAUAUAGCGGCGAGCUGGAGGACAGGAAACGCUAUUCUAUACGUCGGGCAGCGUUCGAUAGCCGGCCAUCUACGCGUAACGGGCGGCGGGACGUUACCUUUUUUAUAUCAUUAUUAUGACACCCGGCCGGCUUAACUAGACCAAGGACACCGGUCCGGACGGAGGCGGCGCCAUAGAGCACCGCUUAUAAACAUGGCGGUAACUACGGUGGCGGGUUAAUCCGCCUAUUUUUCAAAAAUAUUUAUUUAGAGAGAGAGUCGGGCCGAUCACCGCCACGGUACCAAAGAGUCGGGCCUAACCGUUUCCAUCUUUACUACUAGGCCGGUACUUGUACUGGUAAAAAAUAAUGGUUCCGGUUACGGGACGAUAGCGUUAACCUAUUAAAGCGCGGCCUAGGUUUUACGCACCAUUUACGCGGAAUUAAAACCGUUUUGGUUAAUUGGUCGGUCCACCCACCACCGGGAUCCCGAGGCUGCCACUAAUCCCAAAGCCUGGGGCCCUUUAAACUUUUACCCGUUUCGAUAGACGAGUGAUACCGUGGGAAAGGAAGCGAGUAGCGUACGGUAGCGCGGGGCCACCCGGGUUUAAAUCGACAUAGGUUUCGGUCGGAAAUUUCAAAGUUGCCCUGGCGACCGUAGUGAGCCCACAAAAUUUCUACGCUGACCGUUCGAUUCUCCGGAUAUACUUUGGUGAUGAAGGAAAAAAGGUGUACAGCCUUUCUACCCAAAUAUUUUUAAGCCUGGGAAAGAUAUAAGCCGGGAGUGGCGGAAAGGCUGUACUGCACCGCUAAAAUCGAUAUCUAAUAAUAACAACUUUAAAAGUGGCCAUAUGAAAAUUGAACAUACUUCAUUCAGUUUGGACAGUUAGGCCCGUAGCCGAGAAGAAUCGGAAAGUGGCUCCGACGGUUACUUAACGGUACCGUCCUAUCUAUACAAAUAUAAUAAUAAUAAUAUACGAUUCGGGUUUGAGGCAAAUAUAAUUGGUCGAAAAAGAUGUGCGCCGUUAAAAUUUAAAAUAAUAAAAUUUAGGCCUGGUUAGAAGCGUCCAGGCACAAAGCCUAACCUAAUCGAAACUUUCUCCUAUUAAGGCUAAUUAAUUUACUCUAAAGGCCGUUAUCCGGUCGUGUCGGUCCAUACUGAAAAGUGGAAGAGCCCCCGGUUAACGGGCCGCCCGCUAUCGUAUGUAUAAUCUUAGCCGUUUAACUUAAGUGAUGUAUAAUUCUUGGCCGGAAGGGAGGCGCUCAUCUCCGGUCGACGGGCGGGAUCCCAGGCUAGCCUAUCCUACCUAUUUACGGUAGCUAGGCGGCCCGGGCCACCUAAAAGUAUUUUUCUACGAGUUUUUAUAGGGUGGAAAUCUCGGUCGAGGAUUUUUGGCGGGGAAAGGGGCCCCGAUAGAAACGGAAUUUUUCGAAAGUGGCGGGUUUGGCUAGGCGCGGGCCACUGCUACCGAUACCGGUUUUUCCGGCUGGAAAGGCCGCGCGUAUUUGUGACCGUGGACGGUACGUGUGGGAAGGCGGUCCCGUGGCUACCCAGUUAACUAACAAAACGCUGGUAGUUAGCUCAUUCGUCGGUCCUAAGAUUACUGGCCCGUGCCAAAGAAUCGCUAAGGUAGAAGAAAAGAUGACGGUCCGCUUAUAUUCGGAAAAAAUCCCAACUUUGGAUUCAGUCGGUAACAAAGUUCUCUCUAUUUAAAUUCCUAAUGAUAUUUGGAUGCCAUCGGCUCGUAGUUAGUUAGUCGGAGGUUUAACCCGACGGGAUCAAUGGGCAGAAAGUCAAAUCCGGUCGGUUAAAAGUAGGGCGGUGGACGACUUUCCCCCGGUCCCCAGUGGAGGCCUUUCCGUUUAGCCCGGUCGAAAGUGGCGGCUAACUCCCGUUAACCGCCACUUUCGACCGACUGCCGGUAAAACGCGCUCCUUUCCACCAACCAGUGGGUCUGAGUUGGGCUCGAGGUUAGCCAAUGGGUCCGAGUUUGACGCGGAAGACGGCUUAAAACGGUCACCCGUCUUCCGCCCUAUCGGCCGAGUUUUCUUACCCGAUUUUGUUAUUUUCCCGGGACGUAGCCAUUUUCUUUCUUCCACCGCCUUUAGCUCCGCGUCCUUAAUUAGAGUCGAGCGGAAGCUGUAGUAGAUGGCGCGGUUUAUUAAAUCCGUGGCCAUCCGCGGUGGGGUGGAUGGGCAUCUUUCCCUCUUCCCACGCUAACCGGUGGAGGGGAUGGGAGAGUGUCGGCUUCCUCGCUGGGCCCGCGCCACUCGUAGGGAAGAACGGUCGGGUCGACUCGUCUAUCGAUCCAUCCACCGCGCUAAAUAAGGAACGAGUGAGGCGGUCUCGAGUUGUUUACCGCCUCGAUGUAAAUUGUUACGUCAUCGGACUGCCUCGGUCUAAUUUUUGUAGUUUCGGCUUUUAGCUUAAAGAGGCGCUACCCCGUCCGCCUCAGCUUCGGUAACCAAAUUCGGCGGAUAGCGACCCAUCCACGGCCCGCGGCUCCACUCCGUCGGUUCCGUCUUUUGUGUGUUUACUGGUCCGCGGGCCGACUUCCGCGUCCGCUUUUCCGGUGGCCGAGGGUAGCGGGUCUCCCUCCGGACCCGGGCGCUACAAUAUCUAGCGCGUGGAUAGAAAAGGCUUUAACUGUCGAAUGGUACUUAAAGAUACCCGCGGACGCUUAAUUCCGGUGCCUACCCGAACCGCGGAAAGAGGUAGACGUCCCAGUCCGAUUUCUACUUCCGACACAUGGUAAAUGUAGCCGUAAGAGUCGCCUAUUUUCCAACUAUGGUUUAAAAUAAGGACCGGAUGGACCGCCUGGAAACGCUUCGGCUUUCCGGUCUGGUUGGAGUCUCGGGUCCCAGCUCUGGAA